UGGGGAAUAUUGCACAAUGGGGGGAACCCUGAUGCAGCAACGCCGCGUGAGUGAAGAAGUAUUUCGGUAUGUAAAGCUCUAUCAGCAGGGAAGAAAAUGACGGUACCUGACUAAGAAGCUCCGGCUAAAUACGUGCCAGCAGCCGCGGUAAUACGUAUGGAGCAAGCGUUAUCCGGAUUUACUGGGUGUAAAGGGAGCGCAGGCGGUACGGCAAGUCCGAUGUGAAAGCCCGGGGCUCAACCCCGGGACUGCAUUGGAAACUGCCGCACUAGAGUGCCGGAGAGGUAAGUGGAAUUCCUAGUGUAGCGGUGAAAUGCGUAGAUAUUAGGAGGAACACCAGUGGCGAAGGCGGCUUACUGGACGGUAACUGACGCUGAGGCUCGAAAGCGUGGGGAGCAAACAGG
rnacentral:rRNA from 1 species